AGCUUAAUCGAAGGAGGUGGAGGUCUGCGAGGCCAUUCAUUAUCAAAAGACCGCCUUAUCUCUCAACUUCUUCUUCUUCACCUUAACGCUGCCAUCUACUCACUAAUUGUACUUCAAAAUGUCCGCUAUACUCGGAGUAUCUUCUACUCCCAUCUUGAAGGUCUACGCUAAACGAGCUACGACGUCGUCUUUGUUUCGCUCUUUGCCGUUUGCUGAUAAGCCUCAUUUCAAUGUUUUUAUAACUUCGAGCAAUAAGCCUUUGGUUUUUAGGAGCAGUGGCCUCGGCUUUGUUGCUUCGGCCAUAGCUACUUCUAACAACGUCCUCAGUGAAGAAGCGUUCAAAGGUCUUGGUGACUACUCCGACGAUUCCGGUUCUCUUGACAAGGAUUAUGAGUCUGAGGACGUUAGUGUGGACGAGGAUGAACUUGCCAUUUCUAAGAUUGGUUUACCUGAUCGUCUCGUUGAUACUCUUGAGAAGCGUGGCAUUACUCACCUUUUCCCCAUUCAGAGAGCUGUUUUAGUUCCAGCUCUACAAGGGAAAGAUUUGAUUGCUCGUGCAAAGACUGGAACUGGGAAGACAUUAGCCUUUGGAAUUCCGAUACUUAAGCGUCUUACUGAAGAUGCUGAUCAAGCUCCAUCUCUCAGUCGGGGUCGACUUCCAAAAGUUUUGGUUCUUGCACCGACUCGUGAGUUAGCCAAGCAAGUAGAGAAAGAAAUUAAAGAGUCUGCUCCUUAUUUGAACACUGUGUGUGUUUAUGGAGGGGUUUCAUAUAACACUCAACAAAAUGCUCUUGCCCGUGGGGUGGAUGUGGUUGUUGGAACUCCUGGUCGAAUCAUUGACCUUAUUAAAAAUAGGUCCCUCAGAUUGGGGGAAAUAGAGUUUUUGGUUCUUGAUGAAGCUGAUCAGAUGCUUGCUGUUGGAUUUGAGGAGGAUGUAGAAGUUAUUUUGGAAAAUCUUCCACCCAAGAGACAGAGCAUGCUUUUCUCUGCAACCAUGCCUGCUUGGGUCAAGAAAUUAUCUAGAAAGUAUUUGGACAAUCCUCUCAAUAUAGAUUUGGUUGGUGACCAAGAGGAGAAGCUUGCAGAAGGGAUUAAACUUUAUGCUAUAUCAACAACUGCAACCUCAAAGCGAACCAUUCUUAGUGAUCUUAUAACGGUAUAUGCAAAGGGUGGGAAGACCAUUGUAUUUACACAGACAAAACGAGAUGCUGAUGAAGUCUCAAUGGCAUUGACAAACAGUAUAGCUUCUGAGGCAUUGCAUGGAGAUAUAUCUCAACACCAGAGGGAGAGAACAUUAAAUGGUUUUCGACAAGGAAAAUUUACUGUUCUUGUUGCCACUGAUGUUGCAGCUCGUGGGCUUGAUAUUCCCAAUGUUGAUUUAAUUAUCCACUAUGAACUUCCAAAUGAUCCAGAGACUUUUGUUCAUCGCUCUGGUCGUACUGGGCGUGCGGGAAAGGAGGGGACUGCCAUUCUGAUGUUUACUAGUAGCCAAAGGAGAACAGUUAGAUCUCUUGAGCGUGAUGUUGGGUGUAAGUUUGAGUUUGUUAGUCCCCCGGCUAUUGAAGAGGUUUUGGAAUCAUCAGCUGAGCAAGUAGUUGCUACUCUUAAUGGAGUUCAUCCUGAGUCUGUGGAGUUCUUUGUCCCUACUGCUCAAAGGUUGAUUGAAGAACAAGGAAUGAAUGCUCUUGCUGCUGCACUAGCACAGUUGAGUGGAUUCUCACGGCCUCCUUCGUCCCGCUCUCUUAUUACCCAUGAGCAGGGAUGGGUGACAUUACAAUUGACAAGGGAUUCAGGUUACUCCAGAGGGUUCUUGUCUGCUAGAUCUGUCACUGGGUUACUUUCUGCCAUUUAUCCUGCUGCUGCUGAUGAACUAGGAAAAAUAAAUAUAAUUGCUGAUGACAGGGUUCAAGGAGCAGUUUUUGACCUUCCGGAGGAGAUUGCCAAGGAGUUGCUGAAUAAGCAAAUACCACCUGGGAACACCAUUUCCAAAAUUACUAAGUUGCCUGCCUUGCAAGAUGAUGGGCCUUCAAGUGAUAACUAUGGCAGAUUCUCUAAUAGGGAUAGGUUUUCCCGAGGAGGUUCCUGGGACAAGAGAGGUUUUAGACCAUCUCGUGGUGGUUGGAGCAGCAAUGAUGAGGAUGGAUAUAGGCGUGGUAGUCGAAGUUCUAGAGCUCAAAAUAGCUGGUCUAGGUUUUCAAAAAGCAGUGGAGAUGAUUGGUUGAUUGGUGGUAGGAGAUCAAGCAGGCCAUCAUCCAGGGAAAGAAGCAGUGGAGAUGAUUGGUUGAUCGGUGGUAGUAGAUCAAGCAGGCCAUCAUCCAGGGAAAGUGAUCUUUGUUUUCAAGAAGCAGUGGAGAUGAUUGGUUGAUCGGUGGUAGUAGAUCAAGCAGGCCAUCAUCCAGGGAAAGUGGAGAUGAUUGGUUGAUCGGUGGUAGUAGAUCAAGCAGGCCAUCAACUCGGGAAAGAUUUGGAGGUUCUUGUUUCAACUGUGGGAGGUCCGGGCACAGAGCAUCAGAAUGCCCUAACAAGACACAGUACUAAUUUUUUAAAUUGAAGCCUCCUGUUUCAACAGGAGGCGUCCUGGGAGCAGACCACUAGAAUACGAUGAAUAUUAUUAAGACUUGUCUGGUCUAUGUGCGAGGCCUCUGUUACCAAGCUUUACUUUGUAUUAGUUUCAUAGCAGCCGUAGGCCACGCAUUCAGUCUUAUUAUAGUCACAGGAAUCAAUAUCUUCGUAUUUAUCUGAUUAUAUAGAAGAAGUAUAGUUAUCUCA